rnacentral:rRNA from 12 species
UCCGUUGGUGAACCAGCGGAGGGAUCAUU